CUCUUGCAUAUCCAGUAUAAGAGGUCCCGCCUGCCCUGUGACUAUAGGUUUAACGGCCGCGGUAUUUUGACCGUGCGAAGGUAGCGCAAUCACUUGUCUUUUAAAUGAAGACUUGUAUGAAUGGCACGACGAGGGCUUGACUGUCUCCUUCUUUCAGUCAAUGAAAUUGAUCUAUCCGUGCAGAAGCGGGUAUAUAAACAU
rnacentral:rRNA from 1 species